rnacentral:rRNA from 1 species
GACGAACGCUGGCGGCGUGCUUAACACAUGCAAGUCGAACGGAAAGGCCCUGCUUUUGUGGGGUGCUCGAGUGGCGAACGGGUGAGUAACACGUGAGUAACCUGCCCUUGACUUUGGGAUAACUUCAGGAAACUGGGGCUAAUACCGGAUAGGAGCUCCUGCUGCAUGGUGGGGGUUGGAAAGUUUCGGCGGUUGGGGAUGGACUCGCGGCUUAUCAGCUUGUUGGUGGGGUAGUGGCUUACCAAGGCUUUGGCGGGUAGCCGGCCUGAGAGGGUGACCGGCCACAUUGGGACUGAGAUACGGCCCAGACUCCUACGGGAGGCAGCAGUGGGGAAUAUUGCACAAUGGGCGGAAGCCUGAUGCAGCAACGCCGCGUGCGGGAUGACGGCCUUCGGGUUGUAAACCGCUUUCGCCUGUGACGAAGCGUGAGUGACGGUAAUGGGUAAAGAAGCACCGGCUAACUACGUGCCAGCAGCCGCGGUGAUACGUAGGGUGCGAGCGUUGUCCGGAUUUAUUGGGCGUAAAGGGCUCGUAGGUGGUUGAUCGCGUCGGAAGUGUAAUCUUGGGGCUUAACCCUGAGCGUGCUUUCGAUACGGGUUGACUUGAGGAAGGUAGGGGAGAAUGGAAUUCCUGGUGGAGCGGUGGAAUGCGCAGAUAUCAGGAGGAACACCAGUGGCGAAGGCGGUUCUCUGGGCCUUUCCUGACGCUGAGGAGCGAAAGCGUGGGGAGCGAACAGGCUUAGAUACCCUGGUAGUCCACGCUGUAAACGGUGGGUACUAGGUGUGGGGUCCAUUCCACGGGUUCCGUGCCGUAGCUAACGCUUUAAGUACCCCGCCUGGGGAGUACGGCCGCAAGGCUAAAACUCAAAGGAAUUGACGGGGCCCCGCACAAGCGGCGGAGCAUGCGGAUUAAUUCGAUGCAACGCGUAGAACCUUACCUGGGUUUGACAUGGAUCGGGAGUGCUCAGAGAUGGGUGUGCCUCUUUUGGGGUCGGUUCACAGGUGGUGCAUGGCUGUCGUCAGCUCGUGUCGUGAGAUGUUGGGUUAAGUCCCGCAACGAGCGCAACCCUUGUUCACUGUUGCCAGCACGUUAUGGUGGGGACUCAGUGGAGACCGCCGGGGUCAACUCGGAGGAAGGUGGGGAUGACGUCAAGUCAUCAUGCCCCUUAUGUCCAGGGCUUCACGCAUGCUACAAUGGCUGGUACAGAGAGUGGCGAGCCUGUGAGGGUGAGCGAAUCUCGGAAAGCCGGUCUCAGUUCGGAUUGGGGUCUGCAACUCGACCUCAUGAAGUCGGAGUCGCUAGUAAUCGCAGAUCAGCAACGCUGUGGUGAAUACGUUCCCGGG